rnacentral:lncRNA from 1 species
AUGAACACAGCAGUGGCUGCAUCAGUGACUGCAGCAGUGAAUACAGCAUUGGUUCACACCAGACGGGCGAUCAUGCAGCGAGAUCGAUUGACACAGAGGAGGAGCUUGGGGCUCUCAGGGAGGAGGCGGGCCAAGGCGCCACUCUGCUUGUGGGAAACCAUGGCAACAUCCUCUGGUGAAGUCUUGACGUUCACAGCAGCUGCUUUUCAACAUGUUUUACAUGCAUUGACUUCUUAGAAAUAACAGAACUGUGACUUGGUACUCACUUGUGUGUGGAGAUGUUAAGGAUUUCAUCUGUCUGCGUUUUAAGGUUGGAGGUUAAAGUUGACAUGGAUGUGACCCCAGAGGCGGUUCUCUCUCACGCCUCCCUCACACUGUCACACACUGCGGAGAUGGACUGCAUCAGAAACUUCCUCCACACAUUUCACACACUCAGACGGUCAACACAAAAUCAUCCUGCUGCUCUGUUCUCCUCCCUGCGCCGUCUCUCUGGCCUGGAGCACUUGGUGCUGGGCGUGAGCUGCCUGACGGUCCGCUGGGUCACUGAGGCCUUAGACUUCAUCCAGAACUGUCCCUCUACGAGCAAACCUCUUAAGCUGCAGAUUGUUGGGUGGAGGAGUAAAUCAAAGGAGAGUCUUUGUUCAGCAGUGUGUUUGACAAGAGAGGCUAGCAGCCUCAGAUUGAGUCUUUUAGUUGAGCAGGAUCUCAAAGCAGCGGUCUCAGACAUCACGCUUACCCUGUCACAGUCACCAGAGAGCCAUCCUGGCGUCAACUUUGGUUCAUUUCUCCUUGGGCUUCACACAUAUAGACAUUUUGGAGGAAGGUAAGAACUUGAAUGCAAUAAAUUAAAAAGUUUACUCAUUGAUGACAUGUAGUACAUGAAUAACUGUCUGAGCAUGUUCAUAUGUUUGGUUGUGUGUGUGUGUGUGUGUUUGUGUGUGUGUGUGUGUGUGUGUGUGCGUGCGUCCGUGUGUGUGUUUGCGCGUGUAUGUACGUGUUUGCGUGUGCGUGCGUGUGUGUGUUUGCGUGUGUGGUUUGCGUGUGUGUGUACGUGUUUGCGUGUGCGUGUGCGUGUGCGUGUGUGUGUGUGUGUGUGUGUUCAUGCACAUUUUUGUAGAGGUCAGGUACGUGUAGGCAAUCUGCUAGCCUCUCUGCUCCACCUGCCUGGUCUGAAGACAGUUGAGCUGAGGAUGAGCUGUCUGUCUGUCGGCUGGGCUGCUUGCAUCCUCUGCCUCAUCCACCAGUGCGCCAGUGUAGAGCAGCUAAAAGCCACAGAGGAGGAGUGGGGGUCACAUGGCAAAGAACAGAGUUUCUGCUCAUCCCUCAGUGUCCAGAGAAGAUCCGGCAGCCUCAGGUGACCCUCUCUGUCAAGUCCCAGUCACUGAACAUCGAAACACAUC